rnacentral:rRNA from 1 species
AAUCAACGCUGGCGGCGUGCCUCAGACAUGCAAGUCGAACGAUUAAAGCUCUCUUCGGAGAGUGUAUAGAGUGGCGCACGGGUGAGUAACACGUAAGUAAUCUACCUUCGAGUGGGGAAUAACGUCCGGAAACGGACGCUAAUACCGCAUAAUGCAGCGGCAUCGCAAGAUGACAGUUGUUAAAGAAUUUAUUCGCUUGAAGAGGAGCUUGCGGCAGAUAGCUAGUUGGUAAGGUAAUGGCUUACCAAGGCUACGAUCUGUAACCGGUCUAAGAGGACGGUCGGUCACACUGACACUGAAUAACGGGUCAGACUCCUACGGGAGGCAGCAGUCGGGAAUUUUGGGCAAUGGGCGAAAGCCUGACCCAGCAACGCCGCGUGAAGGAUGAAGUAAUUUCGGUA